GCUCCUUUGGCCUAGUGGUAGAACGUCCGCCUCAGAUGUGGAAGGUCUCGGGUUCAAACCACGCCGAGUCAAGCG